rnacentral:lncRNA from 1 species
CCAAUCAUAGGCCAAAUACCCACUAACCAAACCAUAAAACCCUAAUAAAACUAGACCUAAAUCAGAUUUUGGAGGGGGGGAGAUGAACCAACCAUUUUUUUUAUUUUUAGAAAACCUACACAAAAAAUAUAGUUUCUUCAUCUUCUUCAUGCACACUUAACACAACAAAACCCUCAAAGACCUAGCACCUUCAACAUCAAAAACCAGCCUCCUCUUCUCCACAACGUCGACCACCCAUCAGCCAUAUGACCACCACACAACAACUGCCGGAAACUAGCCCAAAAAAAUGACUACCCUUUAGCCACCUCUCACCCUGUCGGUGCUCCCUCACACUUGAAAGCCGCCGGAAAACCUAGCUGCACACCCCAGUCUUCCACCAUCAACCAAAACAUCCAUAGUAGUCGUUCAAUCAGAUUUUGGAGAAAAAACCUACGCCAUCAUCUCUAAGGUUCUGAAGCUUCAGGAGGACCCAGGGCGAUCUAAUAAUCAGCGACCUUUCAGCUUCUUCUGGAUCUGGACAGUAACGCACAGCCGAAACCCUUCUUCUCCAUCUUCAGCACAUUCAAAAAACCAGCUGAAACUUCAGCCAUGUAAAGCUCCAAUUCCCACCACCAGAAUCCGUUACACUCCUUCACCAAAAUACCUAAAAACCACAUCUGGAUCAUCUCCAAUUUCACCCCGAGUUCCAGCUAAAAAAUGACGCCAACAAAGCCCCAUAGCUGCUGCAAAAUCAGCCAUGAAAUAGCCCUGAAACUAGCUGAUUUUCCUCCACUAAACCUAAUGGAUUCGAACGAAAACAAAAUAGAUCGUGUGAAGCCUUCUGUUGAGCCCGGUUUUCAAUUUUUGCGAGCUUUGUUUGAGUUUGGUUACGAGCUUCUUCAAGUUAUUCUAUUAUUGAUAUUGAACAGGUGAAUCUCUACUUUGAGUGUUUAUUUCGAUUUGUAUUUGCGCUGAUCUAUGGCCUAGGAUUGCAAGUGCUGAUAAUGCUAUCGUGUAGGAAACUAUUUUAAUAGUUUGAGAUUCUCGUUUUGAUGAUUGAUUUAAGUUUUUGGAUAUUAUAUUUCUUGUCUUAUUAAGACAAAAACAACAACAACAACCUAGUAUAAUUCCACUUAGUGGGGUCUGGGGAGGGUAGUGUUUAUACAGACCUUACCCCUACCCUGGGGUAGAGAGGCUGUUUCCAAAUAGAC